AGAGUGAACGCUGGCGGCGUGCUUAACACAUGCAAGUCGAACGAGAACGGAUUUUAGCUUGCUAAAAUUGUCAGCUAAGUGGCGCACGGGUGAGUAAUAUAUAGGUAACAUGCCCCAAAGAAGAGGAUAACAUCUGGAAACGGUUGCUAAUACUCUAUAUGCCUUUAAGUCAUAAGACUGCAAGGGAAAUAUUUAUAGCUUUGGGAUUGGCCUGUACGGUAUCAGCUAGUUGGUGAGGUAAGAGCUCACCAAGGCAAUGACACCUAACUGGUUUGAGAGGAUGAUCAGUCACACUGGAACUGGGACACGGUCCAGACUCCUACGGGAGGCAGCAGUGGGGAAUAUUGCACAAUGGACGAAAGUCUGUUGCAGCAACGCCGCGUGGAGGAUGACACAUUUCGGUGCGUAAACUCCUUUUAUAUGGGAAGAUAAUGACGGUACCAUAUGAAUAAGCACCGGCUAACUCCGUGCCAGCAGCCGCGGUAAUACGGAGGGUGCAAGCGUUACUCGGAAUCACUGGGCGUAAAGAGCAUGUAGGCGGUUAUUUAAGUCAGAAGUGAAAUCCAAUAGCUCAACUAUUGAACUGCUUUUGAAACUGAAUAACUAGAAUAUGGGAGAGGUAGAUGGAAUUUCUGGUGUAGGGGUAAAAUCCGUAGAGAUCAGAAGGAAUACCGAUUGCGAAGGCGAUCUACUGGAACAUUAUUGACGCUGAGAUGCGAAAGCGUGGGGAGCAAACAGGAUUAGAUACCCUGGUAGUCCACGCCCUAAACGAUGCACACUAGUUGUUGCUAUGCUAGACAUAGCAGUAAUGCAGUUAACACAUUAAGUGUGCCGCCUGGGGAGUACGGUCGCAAGAUUA
rnacentral:rRNA from 1 species